rnacentral:tRNA from 1 species
CAUUCUGUGGCGUAGUUGGUUAACGCACCCAGCCUAACGUAUUGGGAGUCGUGGGAUCAAACCCACCAGAACGA